UUAUUUCGUUUUAUUUCUGUUCAUGUUUAAAAACGCGACUCGUUUUCUGUGGAUUUAUUCAGCACACGUGUGCCACAGGUUUGCAGAAUAUGUUCGCAUUCAAAUAAGCUGCAAACAGGAUUUAUUACUUUGAUUCACCUGAUUUACCGGCUGCACUUCCUUAGAGUUUAUAGUUUGUGUAUCCAAGAGCAAUGGAGAUCCACAGAUUUAAAUCUACUUUUAUUUUAUUAUGCUCGUUUUGCUUCUUUUGGACCACCGAGACCCAAAAUGUUUCAACUCCAAAUAUUAUCCUAAUGCUCAUGGAUGAUAUGGGAUGGGGUGACCUGGGCGUAUUCGGUCACCCCUCUAAGGAAACACCAAACCUGGAUUUGAUGGCCUCUCAGGGAAUGCUGUUCCCCAACUUCUACACUGCAAAUCCACUCUGCUCUCCAUCCAGAGCCGCCUUGCUUACUGGUCGCCUUCCAAUCCGGAAUGGAUUCUACACCACCAAUGCACAUGCCAGGAACGCUUAUACACCCCAAGAGAUCGUGGGAGGAAUUUUAGAAGAGGAGAUUUUGUUACCAGAGAUACUAAAGAAACAAGGCUAUGUCAGCAAGAUUGUCGGCAAGUGGCACCUUGGACACAGAGAGCAGCACCUGCCCCUGAAUCAUGGCUUUGAUCAGUGGUUCGGUUCUCCAAACUGCCAUUUUGGACCCUAUAAGAAAAGUGACCGUCCAAACAUCCCUGUCUACAACAACUCUCAGAUGAUAGGAAGGUAUUAUGAGGAGUUUAAAAUCGAUACGAAAACUGGAGAAUCAAACCUGACUCAGAUGUAUUUACAUGAAGGCUUAGACUUCAUCACUCAUCAAGCCAAGGCCCAUCAGCCUUUUUUUCUCUACUGGGCACCGGACGCUACACACGCACCGGUCUAUGCUUCCAAGUAUUUUCUGGGUCAGAGCCAGCGGGGACGUUAUGGCGAUGCUGUGAUGGAGCUGGACUACAGUGUGGGGAAGAUUUUGGCACAACUGGUGGAACUGGGCAUCAGUAACAACACGUUUGUCUUCUUUACAUCUGACAACGGAGCUGCCCUGAUGUCUGGUCCAGGGAAAAGUGGCAGUAAUGGCCCGUUCCUGUGUGGGAAGGAGACGACUUUUGAGGGUGGAAUGAGGGAGCCAGCUAUCGCGUGGUGGCCGGGACGAAUCCCAGCAGGCACGGUAAACCAUCAGUUGGGCAGCGUGAUGGAUCUCUUCACUACUAGUCUAGCACUAGCCGGCCUUGAUCCUCCUAACGACAGGUUCAUCGAUGGCUUGGAUCUGAGUUCCACCUUCUUCAACAGCUCAGUGAUGGAAAGGCCUAUUUUCUACUACCGUGGCAACGAGAUGAUGGCAGUGCGGUUCGGGAUCUACAAGGCACAUUACUGGACGUGGACGAACUCAUGGGAGGAGCUGAACCAGGGAAUCAACUUCUGUCCUGGUCAGGAGGUUCCCGGGGUUACUAAUCACACCCAGCAGGAACACACCAUGCAGCCACUCAUCUUCCAUCUCGGACGGGACCCCGGAGAGAAAUACCCUAUCAGUGUCCUUUCUGAUGAGUAUCAGGCCGUUCUAAAGCUGAUCACUCCAAUAGUGGAGCAGCACAAGAAGGAGCUGGAGCCGGGAGAGCCGCAGCUGAACAUGUGCGAUCUGGCCGAAAUGAACUGGGCUCCUCCUGGGUGUGAGAAGCUGGGGAAGUGUCUUAAACCGCCGUCGUCAAACCCAUGGAAAUGUGACUGGCCACAUUGAAACACAUCUACCAAAAUGAACAAACAGGAUAAAGGGUUUCUCAUUCUGAUUGCUCCUGUGUGUAUACGGGCUUUCAGGUGAAGCUGAACAUUAUGAGCAGCAUACUGUUGUCAUUAAGAGAGCUGACCUCAAGUACCAGUCGGGCUUCAGUGUGCAUAAUGGCAUCAUGUGCAGCCUGAUGUGUGGUGGUGUUCGGGUAGAACACAGGAUCAUCCAAAAAAUGGACAAAGUGUGGCGGCAACAGCACAAAUAGUGGUCAGUUUGGACACCCCUGGUUCAGAGGAGCAGCAAACGCUACU